GGAUGACUCAGUUGGCAGAGCGUGAGCCUCUUAAUCUUGAAGUCAUGGGUUCAAUCACCACAAUGGGCAACA